rnacentral:rRNA from 1 species
GAGUUUGAUCGUGGCUCAGAUUGAACGCUGGCGGCAGGCUUAACAUAUGCAAGUCGAGCGGGGGAGAUUGCUUCGGUAAUUGACCUAGCGGCGAACGGGUGAGUAAUACUUAGGAAUCUGCCUAUUAAUGGGGGACAACAUCUCGAAAGGGAUGCUAAUACCGCAUACGCCCUACGGGGAAAGCAGGGGAUCACUUGUGACCUUGCGUUAAUAGAUGAGCCUAAGUCGGAUUAGCUAGUUGGUGGGGUAAAGGCCUACCAAGGCGACGAUCUGUAGCGGGUCUGAGAGGAUGAUCCGCCACACUGGGACUGAGACACGGCCCAGACUCCUACGGGAGGCAGCAGUGGGGAAUAUUGGACAAUGGGGGGAACCCUGAUCCAGCCAUGCCGCGUGUGUGAAGAAGGCCUUAUGGUUGUAAAGCACUUUAAGCGAGGAGGAGGCUCCUGUAGUUAAUACCUACAGAGAGUGGACGUUACUCGCAGAAUAAGCACCGGCUAACUCUGUGCCAGCAGCCG